rnacentral:lncRNA from 1 species
GAUGAUGAAAACUUGAUAUGAAAUUGCAAUAGGUAUUUUCUAGGGCAAGUUACCCAACAAGAUACCGAUAUUCCAAGGAGUAAAACCAAAGGGAUCUUCAUAAUUUUGCAAUAGGCAUGUUGUAGAAGGUUGCACGGCCGGUGUAAAUCAGCUUGCUGGUUUUCUUCAUUUUGAACUCAACUGCAAUUACCGUUACAUUUCUUCCACUCCUCACUACAGAUGCAUCGGUGACCACUUCUGCCUGUUUGUUGGAAACAGGACCAUCUCAGAGAUUAAUUUUGACAACAAAAAUUGAAGAGAAAACAAAAAUGGUGCUUUGAUGCAAGAUAAUGAUAAUAUAUUAUAUAUCAAGCAUGAAAUGUAAGUCAUUUGAGAAACCAGACACCAGAAAACCAAAAAACAUUACAAAUUCCAUAGCAGGGACAACUGGAGUUUGUUGGAAAUAAGUGUUGUUUUUUGAUGGUUCUGAUCAACUAUCAAAGGAUGUCGUAUUACAAAACAUGUUUUGAGCUUCAUCAGGUAUUUGAAUGCCUCUGUCUUAACAAUGGACACUUUUUCCUGAAAUGGGUUUUCUACUUAUAGGCUAUGUUUGGUUGGCUGGAUAGGAUAUGAUAUCCUUAGAUAUUAUAUCCAAUAAACAUGAUAUCCUUAAGUAUUACAUAUCUAAGAUGAUCAAUAUUUCUUAGAAUUAGAACUCCAAAUCAAUCCAUUUCAGACACUUGAAAUGCAGCUUGUUGUCACAACUUGCUCAAAUGACCCCCCUUUAAGCUUAUAUAGGUGAGUAGGAAGCUUCUGAAACCUCCCGGAGCAAUCUACACUUAGCCACCAGCGGAAGAGUGUGGAAGAUUCUAGAGAAGGCUAGAGACACCCACACAUCUCUAUACAAGGGAUGGAAGACAUGGAAAGAAGUUGAGUGUUCUAAAGAGUUUCAGAGUCAUUAUGUAAAUACUUGUAUAUAGCAUUUGUAUAGUCUUUUAGAGGGUUCUAGGUUAGUGGGGAGCCUUUGUGGGUUCUAGAGAGUUCCACAACUAAAUAGGAGGAGGCCUCAUUUGGGCAAGGCACCAAGCAAGUGACAGCUUCCAAGCAUUGUGAGCAUUCCUUGUGCAACACAAGCUUCCUUUCUUAAACCGUUGUCUUUGUUGUGCACCUUUGCUUCCCGCAAACUUAGCCUAGCUAACUAAGUGGGUGAGAAAGACUGGCAUAGCAAAGUCAAAUGUCUUGAAUUGUCUAAAUAGCGCAUGUGAACUUAGGAAAAGCCUAAGUCCAUGAAAUUGUGCUCUCUAACAUCUCCAAUGAAUGCUGUUUUUGCAUCUAAAAGUAGGAAAAGUAAUCCAAAAAUGCCAACAGAAUGGAGUCAAAACCAGAAGACUCACUUUAGCUGGUGCAGCAGAGAGAUAUGACAUGCUCAAUUCACCGAGAAAGAGUUCCUUGUCCUCAGCUACCACAGUUCUAGCACAAGCAAUCGACACCAACUCCACAAUGAUAGCAACGGCCCCUCCAUGUAGCCCUCCAUAAUAAUUCUACAAACUCAUAAAAGCAAGAACGUCGCAUUAAAUCCAAGCAUUAUGUUUUUAUGUUGUUCUGAGCUGCAAAAGAAUGGAGGAUCAAUCUCAACUAACCCAAAAGGCAGUAAGUAUUAUAGGCUAUGUUUGGAAACUAUUUUUGAAACCUGUUUUUUCUUAAAAACAAAAUUGAUAAACUUUUGACAGAAAACAGUUUUUUUUUGAGAAUUUUUUUAUGAAAAUAGGUUAUUUUUUAGAGCAAAUUUGAAGUGUUUUUAGUUGUUUUUUGUAUGGUGUUCUGAACAACAAUUGAAAAUAUAGAAGAUAAAUUUUGUGUAGUAUACAAGUGCAUAUUACCUUUUAAGACAGUACUUUACGAAAAAAAGGAGCCUAGAAAACUAUUUUCGUGUGAGUUUCCAUACUGAAUUUUAUCCGUGAUAAGACAAUGGAAUACUGUUUUUAAGAACCAUUUAAAAAAUGUUCUCAACAGCCCCAUAAAAGCUGAGUUUCAUCAAGAGCAAAAUAGUGAGAAGUCUAAAACUUUAAAACUUUUAUCCCUGUUUGGCCGCUGAGAAACAAGAAUAGGAGCAUAAAGUUUUAUGCUGAAUCCGGUCUUAAUUUUACAAAAAAAUUAUUUAGAUAGGAAAAAAAACCAACUGAGCAAAGAUUGUUAUGCAAAGGCUGAAUCAAGGGUUUAGUAUGAGAAAUCGAAAAUUCAAAAUCUCAAUCAUAUUCAAGGAGACAUCAUUAAGUUUCUUCUCAAGUCCCAAAUAAUGAAAUUCUGAAAGAAAAGAGAGAAUUUUAAAUUCACGUUUAUGUGGUGCAGCCAAACAAAAAUAAAUAAAUAAUAAAAUAGGCAAAAAUACACUUCUAUUAAGCAUCUUAGAAUUGAGGCGAAUUGAGGCUUUUCCAAUCAGAAAUCCAACAUCCAGAGGCCCAAAGCCUAUUCCCCUUUCCUCCACUUCUAUCACCAACGAAACCAUCACUGAUCACUAAUUCAUUUCUUUACCCCAUAUUUUCUCACCAACCAAACAUGGAUUAUGAAGAAUUAGGAAAAGAAAGAGAGAAAAUUAAGAGUGGGUCUUGUUACCGCAACAGCAGGCACGACGCAGAAGAGGCAAGUGAGGUGGCCACGCUCCACCCGUUGGACUUGGAGAAUGCCCCGAAUGAGAUGAGAAUAGAAAUCCUUUUCCUGGCAAUUGGGAGGGAGGUCUGCAGUGACUCCUAUAUGUUGAAAGAAG